UUUCUAUUGGCACAAUGGGAGACCCCGCCCCUCUCGGAGGACUCCAUUGUAUGCGGGAGGUAGGAGGGCCUCGCGGGUUCCACGCUAGCCAGCAGAAAUAAUCCAAAAGACGCGCUAUAUUGAUCAGCCUCCAAACUUGGCAUCGGUGAUGAGCUGCAACGCAAGUAGUCGCUCCCAAUGCACUUCCUGGAAAGAGAAAAAUGAGGAGCCUAAAGGAGGUUCAGCUGGUGAAGGUGCUUGGUGUCCAAGCUUGAACGCCCGAGUUUGAUCCCUGGAUCCCAUGUAAGAGUGGAAGACCGACCCCACAAAGUUGUCCUCUGACAACCAUCCACACUUUCAAAUGAAAUGCUGUUGGUUCCUCCCUCUGCUUCCAAGACCAGCUUUGUCCCUACCUCCUAGGAACAAGUAAGACCUCCAGGUGGCCUUCUCAAUAGUUCCAAUUGCAGGGUCUACGCAGGUCUCAGAGACGCAGAUUUGAUGUGAGGCAAGACCAGACAGUAGUGAUGAGAGCUUCACGGGACCUAUCUUUUCUGUUAGAAUUUCCUUGUAGAAUGUGUGCACAUUCUGCACAUCAAGGCCCUGAGCUCAAUCCCCAGCACCAUAAACAAAAGAGAGACUCUGGUCUUGAUGUGGGGUCACAGACCUUUAAUCCUAGCACCCAAGAGACAGAGACUGGUAGAUCUCUGAGUUUGGGACCAGCCUUCG
rnacentral:lncRNA from 1 species